rnacentral:rRNA from 1 species
GCUUAGCCGUAAACCGAGGUAGUUACAUAACAAGACUACCCGCCAGAGAACUACAAGCCACUGCUUAAAACUCAAAGGACUUGGCGGUGCCCUAGACCCUCCUAGAGGAGCCUGUUCUGUAAUCGAUAAACCCCGAUAUACCUCACCUCUCCUAGCUGUCAGUCUAUAUACCGCCAUCGUCAGCUCACCCCAAUAGGGUACAAAAGUGAGCAAGAUCAUGAAACCAUAAAAACGUUAGGUCAAGGUGUAGCAUAUGGAAAGGGAAGUAAUGGGCUACAUUUUCUAUAUUAGAACAUAACGGAUUGCCUGUUGAAACAUAGGCAUGAAGGAGGAUUUAGCAGUAAAUUAAGAAUAGAGAGCUUAAUUGAAAUCGGCAAUGGGGUGCGU